GGGGGGAGGCCGGAUCCUGGGCUGUGUCCCGGCGCCCUGUGCUCCGGCGUCUGCGCUGGUGGAUUCGCGCUCUGGGGGCCGCGCAGCCCCCU
rnacentral:pre_miRNA from 1 species